GCAGAGCGACAAGCAGGGGGUGCCGGACCGGGGUUUGCUCGGGGGCUGCUUGGUUUUUCCCUGCCGAGCUCCGCGGGGAGUGGUGCGGGACGGGGCCGGAGGCAGCCCUAGGGCUGAGCCGGGCAGGGAAAGCGCUGCGGGACGAGGGGAAGAGAGGGGAGCUGAGCGGAGGGGGAAAAGGAGGCCAAAGCAAAAAACAAAACAAAACAACAACAACAAAAACAACACGAAAGGAGAGAAGCACAAGCGAUGAGAUGUGCCAAGGUUUAUUCCCUUUUAUUUCCUCCACCCCCACAAAAGAAAAUAAACCUAGAAUCAGGAAGUCGGAGCUGCGGGAGCGCUGCUAGAGGCUGCUCCUCCGUAAAGUGGAAUAGGAUAUGAAGUGCCACUUGUUUGGGCCGCGAUCUCACUGUAAAUGGUCUGCCACCUCCUGAUUCAACAGUCAAACUUGCUACAUGCUGUUUGUGAGGAAAGAAAUUCAGUUGCACAGUCAAUAGGAUAUGAACUGUUAUGAUUAAUUGGGAAGUCCAGAACUGAAGUCCAUAAUGACAUAUGGUUUGGGGGAUUACGUGCUAAAUGCCUAUGUCUAUCACAGUGUGCUGGAACACAAUAGAUUGCAAAACUGCCACUGAGUGUAUCCUGACUUGCCUCUGUGAUACAUGUCUUCUGAGAGAUGUGUUAGUUUUCUCUUACCAGUCAACUUCCUCUGGACAAUCUUUUUCUGCUGAUAGUUUAACAAGUUACUGUGCUAAUUAGGCAAAGAAAAACACCACCCCAUUUACUUAUACUAGCACAAAAGAGAUGCUCGAACACGUGCCUUUAAACAUGUAUUUUGCCUAUAAUCAUUUAUUAAGAUGAACUAGGUGACAAGUUAGUUUUGAAUGAUGUAGCUGGCUUUCUGUUUUGAUUAUAUUUUGUAAAUAAUGCAAAAGAAAUACUUUGAGGUAAAUUCAGACAUUAGUAACAUCCAUACAGCUCUACUCAUGAUUGGUUCUGUGGCUGUAGCAGAGGUCAGAAUCUGAUCUUACACUGCAACAUUCAUUUCAUUCAAAUCACUUCAAAGACCCUCACAUGCUGCAACCUCAUAAAUUUUGUGUAUAUAUGAUUCAUUGUCAUUUAUUUAGACAAAUUGGAGGAUUUUUAAAAAUGAGACAUCCAGAAAAAAAAAAAAUCAAAUUCUAGGGAUGGAAUAUUUGCAAAGUAACCUCGACUCACAAUAAAGAUCUCAGCUUGCAUUAUAUGAAAGGAAGUGCAGUUAAGACAUUGAAGAAAAGAAACUCAAAUCAAUUUUAUAGAUAAAUACCAAACAAAAGCUUAUGCCUCGAGAUACGCAUGCUGAGCAUCAGGAUACCAACAUGGAAAGCAAUGGAGUUUUUAAAAUCUAGAAGGAGACAAACAAACUAAACAUGGGAAAAACAGAAAAAUCUUUUGCGUGUGAAUUCAGAGGAGAAACUUGACAAAGUCCUGUCCUAACAUGCUGCAAAACAAAUACUUGUAUUACAGAUUUUUUCAUGCAAUUGUUAUUCUACCUUCUGUACUGAGCAGGAACAUUUCAUACUUAAUUCACCACCCAUCACGUCCUGUCCUUAAAUGAAUCCCCCUAAAACCAAGCAUUUGAUCCUAACUUAACUCCUCCUUCAUUCCUGACAAGGUGAGCGAGGGAAGACGUGGCAAAUUCCCAUUUACAUUUUCUUUCCCACACUGCAAAUAUCCACAACAGGAAAGUCUCAUCUGAUGCUGGCAGUGCAGCACUACUAAAACAAGCUACUGUGAAUUCUGUCUUCCCACCUAUCUGAGCACAAAUGUAUUGUUUUCAUGACAUCUGUGCUCUACUUGCCAAGGUCACUAGAUCCUUAGAGACUCUAAGACUGAGGUUUUAGACAUUUCUGAUCACAGGUACAUCUUUCAGGCCUUUUUCAGUAAAAAAUUCUGAAAGUUUGAAUUCAAACAUGAUAUUUUCCCUAAAUAGUUGGUCACAUACCCAGCAACUGGAUUUGGUAUUGGUAUAACUACUUUGAAGCUAAUGUAACUGAGUGAAUUUCAGCUUGGACACACAAUAUUCCU